GCAAGAUGCGUAUUAAGAUAUUUUACCACCCCUGCGUUGCCUUCCAACCAAUCAAACGGAAGCUCACUUUCUGUUACAUUUAUCCACCUUCAAAUGAAGUGGACACCAAUGGUGUGGAAAGAGAAGAUAUCAAAUGUUUAUGAAACCUCUGCCUAUUUGCUUUCUCUGGUAUGACUGCAAAACCUACACUAACACCACAUCAGACAAGUAAACGGAAUAAAUUCUACUCACAGAUCGGCGACUACUAAGGCCAGUGAUCUCAUGGACAGCAGCCCCCUAAGGAACAUUGGAAGAGGCAAACAUGGCAAAAUCAAGAAACCACGUGGGGGACUUCUUGGAGGAGUUCAGAGAGCAGAUCAUUGCGCAGGUGAGAUUAUCUGGGCCCAUAGUAGACGCUGUGAUCUCACAACAUCUUAUCCCAGAAGAGCUGGCACACAGCGCCCGUGCAGCCCAGACCACACAAGACCAGAUGAGGGCUCUGUUUGAAGCCGUAGAGAGAGAGACACCACAAACCAAACUUGCAUUCCAUCUGAUAUUGAGACGGAAAGAGCCUGAACUCAUGGACAAGCUAGAGCAGAGACAACGAAACAGUAAGAUGACACAGACAGGAUUGGAUCAAAGGUAUGGAGAUACCACAACAUUAGAGGAUAAGACCACACCAAAACUUGGCAUACAGACAAAAAAGGAAUCUCUUAAGAGACGAAGACAAGAAACAAUGCAAGCAAUUGAGGAGAUUGAAAAACUUUGGGAGGGGUCAAGAAGGGAGAGAAAUGAAACUAACUACAUGAAAGCAAAGAUUAAGCAACAACAAGAGGAAAUAGAAAGGCUAAUGGCUGAGAAACAAGAGCAAAACACAAAGAUGGAGCUGAUGAGGAUGGAGAUCCAGAAUGUGAAUGAAAAACUGAAACAGAACAUGGAGGAAAUAAAUAUAGAGAAAGACGGAAUACGACAAAUGUGGGCUGAUGUCCAAACAGAGAAAGACAUUCUGGAGAGAAGAUACAAUGAGACCAUUAACGAGAGACAGAGUUUGGAAUUGAUCAAGUAUGAGACAUUGAGAGCAAAAGAGGAGAUGGAGCACUGCAAGGAAACAACCAAACAAGAGCAGGAGAAAAUGGAACAGAUUAAGGCUGACAUUCAGGGACAGAUAGAGGACAUGGAAAUAAGAAUUGCAGAAACCAAUCAAGUAAAAGAAAAAAUGGAAGCGAUGAAGGCCGAUGUACACAGGGAGCAAGGUCAGCUGGAGACAAAAAGAGAUGACAUUAAAAGACAAAAAGAACAGUUUGAGCAGAUUAAAUGUGAGAUAAACAAAGUAAAAGAAGAGAUGGAUCGAAGGUGGUAUGAAACGGAGAAAGAAGAGCUUGAGCAGAGAGUUAGGAUCCAGCAAGAGAAAGAGGAACUUGCCAACGUAAAAGCUGAGCUGCAGAGAGCUAAAGAGGAGGUGGAUCAAAACAGGGAGAAGACGAAGCAAGAGAAGGACCUGGUCAACAAAAUGAAAGCAGAGAUUCUUCUAGAAAAGGAUUCACUUGAGAAGGACAAACAAGAAACAUUACGAAAACAAAAGGAGUUGGAGCAGAUCAAGUAUGCGAUUCAAAUGGACAAAGAGGAGAUUGAGCAAAACAGAGAGGAAGCAAAGCGAGAGAAUGAUAAGAUGGAACAGAGGGAAGCUGAACUGCAGAGACAAGUGGAAAACAUUGAGAGAAACAUUGAGGAGACAAAGCAAGAAAAUUACAGAAUGGAAAACGUAAAAGCAGAGAUACAGAGAACGAAAGAAGCCCUGGAGAAACAAAAAGAUGACACCAGGCGAGUGAAGGAGGAAAUGGAGAAAAGAAGGUAUGAGACUGUCAAGGAGGAGCUGGAGCAGAGAGCUGAAAUACAGAGACAGAGAGAAGAAGUGGAAAUGCUCAAGUCUGAAAUGCAGAAAGCCAAGGACGUUGAAAAAACAAGAGGAAACCGAGAGAGAGAGGAAGCCAAAAAGUGGAGUGAAGAAGUAAAGCGACAGAGAGAUGGGAUCAAACAAUUGAGAGCUGAAGUUCAGAAGGAAAAAGACAACGUGGAGAGGAAAAAGCAAGAGACAAUGAGAGAGAGACAAGAAUUGGAGAGGAUUCAUUUUGAAACGCUGAGAAUGAAAGAGGAGAAUGAGCAAAGCAGGGAGAUCACAAGAAGAGAAAAGGAGCAAAUGGAGCAGAUGAAAGUUAAUAUACAGAGACAGAUAGAAGAUAUAGAAGAAAAAGUUACAGAGACAAAACAAGCAAAAGACAAAAUGGAAGAAAUGAAAGCAGAGAUACAGAGACAACGUGAAGAUUUGGAGAGUAGAAGGGAAAAGACAGAGAAAGAGAGAGAGCAUUAUGAAGAGGUUAAGUGUGAGAUAAUUCAAUUGAAAGAGGAAAUGGAAAGGAAAUGGUGUGAAACAGAGAAAGACGAGGUGGAACAGAGAGCAAGAGCGCAGCAAGAGACGGAAACACUUGAAAGGUUGAAGGAGGAAAAACAGAAAGUGCGAGAGGAAAUAGAAAGAAACAAGGUGGAAACGCAACGAGAAAGAGAGAACCUAGAAAAAAUGAAAGCCCGUGUGAAAGACGAGAAGAACAUUGCAGAGAAAAUAUCAGAAGAGGCCAAGAUAAAGAAUGAGGACUUAACGGAAAUGGAGCGUAACCUUCAGGAAGAAAGGGAAGAGAUCGAGAGGAGCAAGCAAGUCACAAAGCAAGAGAAGGAAGAGAUCGUAGAGAUGAAGGCUGAACUCCAAAGACAAAUGACAGAAAUAGAGAACCGUGUGAAGGAGACAAACAGAGCAAAAUAUGAGGUGGAUCAGGCAAAGCUGGUCGUACAAAAAGUGGAGUCCCAGCUGAAAAAGCAAAGAGACGAGGCUGGAAGAACAAAAGAGGAAAUUGAGAAACAGAGAUAUGAAGCAGUGAAAGAAGAGCUUGAGCAACGAGCUGAAAUCCAACGAGAAAGAGAAAUGUUGGAGAAAGUAAGAGACGAGAUACGGAGAGCCGAAGAAGACUCCGAAGAAACACAGCUUCAGAGCGAAAGAGGGGACUUACAAAAGAAGAUGAAUGAAACACAGCAAGAGAGGGAGAUGCUUGAGCAAAUUAAAACAGAGGUUUUGUCAGAAAGGGCCAUGUUGAAAAGACAAAUCCAUGAAACCGCAAGAGAAAGAGAGGACUUGGAAUUGCUUCGGUGUGAGACCCUGAAGAAAAAGCUGGAGCUUGAGAAAAAGAAGGAUGAAGCUGUCAAGGAAGAGCUUGAACUGAGAGCUGAAAUACAGAGAGAUAGAGAAGAGAUAGAGAGAACCAAGAAGAAAAUAGAGAGGGAGUUAAAACAAGGCAGGGAUGCCACAAGUCUAGAGAGAGGCGAAGUGGAACGGAUGAAGGUUGAAGUACAGAACCAGCAUGAGGAAAUGACUAGAUCCAUUGAGAGGACAAGGCAAGCCAGAGACGUGAUGGAACAGAUGAAGGAUGAAAUUCAGAGAGAAAAACAACUUUUGGAGAGAAUAAGGGAAGAAACAAUAAGAGAGAAAGAACCCUAUGAAACGGUCAAGGAUGAGCUAAACAGAGUAAAAGAAGAGAUGGAAAAACUCUGGGACGAGGUACAGAGGGACGAGCAGGAAGAGAGAGCCAAACUGCAUCAAGAAAAUGUGGAGCUGAAUAAGAGAAUGGAGGAAAUUAAGACAGAGAUUAACCAGAUAGAAACAAUUAAAUUUGACCUAGAGAGACAGAGAGAUGAGAUUGAAGCAAGGAUGGAGAAGACAAAGAGAGAGAUGGACAAGCUGGAACAAACAAAGGCUGAAAUACAAAGACAGAAAGAGGACAUUGAAAACAAGAUGACAGAAACAAAGAGUGAGAAAGAGGAGAUGGAAAAGAUCAAAUCUGAGAUACAGAAGCAGAAAGAGGACAUUGAAAAAAAAAUGCAACAAGCAGAGACAGAAAUGGAUGAGCUGAAAAGUGUGAGGGAAGAUAUUCAGAGGCAGAGACAAGAGGAAAUUGAAAACAAAAUGCAACAAGCAGAGACAGAAAUGGAUGAGCUGAAAAGUGUGAGGGAAGAUAUUCAGAGGCAGAGACAAGAGGUCGAGAACAUGAUGCAGAAGACCAAGAGAGAGAUUGGAGAGAUGGAACUAGUGAAGACUGAGAUGCAAAGGAAGAAAAAGGACCUUGAACAGAUGAUGAGAAAGACUAAGAGAAAAAGGGAAGAAAUGGAAAAGAUGAAGGAUGAAAUAGAGAGAGCGGAAGAAGAGAUGGAACAAAGAAGGGAAGAGACCAAAAGGGAGAGAGAUGCAAUUGAACAGGCGAAGGCUGAAAUAGAAAGAGCAAAAGAGGAACUGGAGAUUCGUCUGGAAGAGGGCUUUAGAGAUAUUGAUGAGAAGGAACAGAUGAACGCUGAGAUACAGAGAUUAAUCCAAGAGGUAGAGCGAACCAGAGAAAUGGUACGACAAACAAAAGUGGCAAUGGAAAACAGGAUGGAAGAAAGCAAUAUGGAGAUGGGUGACAAAGACAGAGUGAAUGCUGUAAUCCAGAGGUUGAUUCUAGAGGUGGAACAAACCAGAGAGGUGUUAAGAAGGGUGAAAGAAGAAAUGGAACUGAGCAAGGGGGAGUUAAAAGGGGAAAAGGACAAAAUCAGACUGAUGAAGACGGAGACACAAAAAAGAAAAAAAGAACUGCAGCAAAGGAUGGAGAAGAUCAUGCGAGAGAGGGAUGAGUUAGAACUGGUGAAGUCAAAGAUACAGAGACAACGGGAAGAGCUGAAACAGAAGAUGGAAGAUGGAAAGACUGAGAGUGAAAAGAUGGAACAGAUGAAAGAUGAAAUACAGAGAGCGGUUGCAGAGAUAGACCUGGCAAGGGAGGAGAUACAAAGGGAAAAAAGGAAGAUUAAAGAGGACAAUGCAAGGGAAGAGAAGGAUAUGAUGGAGUCUAUGAAAGCUGAGCUUGACAGACAGAAAGAGGGAAAAAACAGAAGGAAAAAAGAAAUGCCAAUGAUGAAGACCACGGUCCAGAGGCCACAGGAUGAAACAGAGAAAGCCUACCUUGGAGAUACGACAACUGAGAUACCAUUUGAGUCACAAGAGCUAAGAACCGCCAUUGAAAAAGAAAGAAGAGACUUGGAACGCAGAGAGAAAAUGAUUAUGAGAGAGAAGUAUGACCUGGAAAAGUCAAAAGCCGAGUUUGAGAAGGAAAAGGCGGGGAUGGAGAACAUGAUCACAAAACAACGAGAGGAGAGCAGACAAAUGAUUGAGGACAUAGAAAAGAAAAAAGAAAAUCUCGAGCAAAUGGAUGCAGAGAUGCAAAGGAAAAGACAGGUCAUCGUAAGGGAAAUGCAAUAUAAAACACAAAAGAUGCAGGAUUUAAAAAAAGCAAAAGAUAAAUUUAAACAAACGCAAGUUAAAUUUAGCAAAGAGAAAAUUGAAAUGGGAAACAUCAAAAAGGCUACCUUGGCGGAAAGAAAUAAACUAGCAGUAGAGCAAGCUUACAUAGAGAAACGUAAGGAGGAGAUGGAAGCCAUCCUGGAAACGACAAAGAAGGAGAAUGAAGAUCUGCUGAACUUAAAAGCUCAAAUAGAGGGAUGGAAAGAAGACAAAGACGAACGGGGUGAACGCCUGAACAGGGAGAGAAAGGAACUUGAAUAUCUGAAAAGUAAGAUUCAAAAAGAAAAAGAGGAUACGAUAAGAAACAGGAACAUUUCGGAAAAAGAGAAAAAGGACUUGGAGCUGAUGAGAUCUGAAAUGCAGAAAGAAAAGGGGAAGAUGGAACAAGAGAAGCUUAAGGUACAAGUUGAGAGACAAAAGCUUGAACAAAUGAAACUGGAGUUACAGAGAAAGUCCAACGACCUAGAUAUGAUCAUAGAAGACACAAAGAGGGAGAAAGUCAGUGCAUCACAAAUUCCUGUCCAAAUACAACAACAAAAUAACCAAAUUGAUUGUUUUGUGGAAGAGACAAAGAGGAGUAAAAUCGAAGAAGAAUUGAUGAGCGCUGAAAUAAAAAGACAGAAAGAGGAGAUAGACAGCAAACAAGACAUUCUAUCAAAUGAGAGAGAAGAUCUGAAUAAACUCAGAACAGAGGUAAACAAUCAGAGAGAAGAGAUUGAAAAUAUCACGCAAGAGCAAAUUAAAGAAACAUUUCUAAUUAAUCAGACAAAGACAGAGAUGGAAAAAGAGAGAUGUGAGAUGGACAGAAUAAAGAAAAUGAUAGAGCAGAAUAUGGAUGAGCUAGAGCAGAGAAAGUGUGAGAUGAGAAAAGUAGAAAACAUAAUUAUCGAACUGAGAAAAGAAGAAGAGAGUAUAACGAAUGAGAUGAACAGGAUGAGAAAGAACACAGAGCAGAAAAGUUUUGAAAUGCAGAGACGGUCUGAAGACAUGAAUCAGCUAAUGGAUGAGACAAGACGGGAGAGGGGGAAGGUUGAAGAACUGGCUAUCCAAACUCAAAAACAAAGAGAAGAAAUGGUGGGUUUUAUGGAAAAGAACAAACAAAAGCAGAACGAACUGGAACUCAUGACUGACAAGAUUGAAAGAGAGAAACAAGACAUCGAAGACAGUCGGGAUGUGCUAACAAAGGAGAGAGAGGAGCUGGAACAAAUGAGGAGUGAGAUACAGCAACAGAGAGAGGAGACAGAAUCUCACAUGGAAGACCAAAGGAAAGAGAAAGAACAUUUGGAACAAAUGAUGACGGACAUGAAAAAACAGUUGCUAGAGGUGGACAAUGACAAGGAAAUGAUACAAAGCUCAAUGGGUGAACUGAGAGUGAAAGAGGCAGAAAUGGUGAGAGAAAAAGACAACAUGGAUAACAAGAUGGCUAGGCUCAAAGAGGAAGAGGAUAGAAUGCGGGAAGAAAUAGGAAGGAAGAUGGACAUCUUAAAGCAGGAAAGUUGUGAAAUCAAAAGACUUAGAGAUGAAAUUGACAGUGAAAAGGACCAGCUGAAUGCAAAAUUGCUUGAGUUGGAAAAAAUGCGUGAAGAACUAGAUAGAGAGAAGAAGGAAGUGAAAGACAGGAAGGAUGAAACACUGAAAGAGAAAGAUCAGUUGGAAGAGAGGCGAGGUAAGAUAAGUAAGGAGAAAGAGGAAUUGGAUAUCAGUCUUGAACUGAUGAAAAGACAAAGGGAAGACUUGAUGAGCUUGAAGGCUGAAGCAGAAGUACAGACCGAGCCUAUGGAAACAGACUGGAAGGAAAAGCUCACGAGGGAAAGACAACAACUUGAAGAUGUAAAGGAGGAGAUACAGAAGGAAAAAGAAGCCUUUGAGAGAAAGAAGGGAUUGACCAUGAAAGAAAGAGAUGAGUUUGAUCUGAUGAAGUCUGAAACCCAGGGACAAUUGGAGGAAAUAGAACAAAACAAACAAGACAUUCGUGUGGAGAAGGAAAAUCUGGAUCAGAUCAAAGCUGAGUUAGAAAGACGGUCUGAAGACAUCAAUCAGCUCAUGGAUGAGACAAGACGGGAGAGGGGGAAGGUUGAAGAACUGGCUAUCCAAACUCAAAAACAAAGAGAAGAAAUGGUGGGUUUUAUGGAAAAGAACAAACAAAAGCAGAACGAACUGGAACUCAUGACUGACAAGAUUGAAAGAGAGAAACAAGACAUCGAAGACAGUCGGGAUGUGCUAACAAAGGAGAGAGAGGAGCUGGAACAAAUGAGGAGUGAGAUACAGCAACAGAGAGAGGAGACAGAAUCUCACAUGGAAGACCAAAGGAAAGAGAAAGAACAUUUGGAACAAAUGACGACGGACAUGAAAAAACAGUUGCUAGAGGUGGACAAUGACAAGGAAAUGAUACAAAGCUCAAUGGGUGAACUGAGAGUGAAAGAGGCAGAAAUGGUGAGAGAAAAAGACAACAUGGAUAACAAGAUGGCUAGGCUCAAAGAGGAAGAGGAUAGAAUGCGGGAAGAAAUAGGAAGGAAGAUGGACAUCUUAAAGCAGGAAAGUUGUGAAAUCAAAAGACUUAGAGAUGAAAUUGACAGUGAAAAGGACCAGCUGAAUGCAAAAUUGCUUGAGUUGGAAAAAAUGCAUGAAGAACUAGAUAGAGAGAAGAAGGAAGUGAAAGACAGGAAGGAUGAAACACUGAAAGAGAAAGAUCAGUUGGAAGAGAGGCGAGGUAAGAUAAGUAAGGAGAAAGAGGAAUUGGAUAUCAGUCUUGAUCUGAUGAAAAGACAAAGGGAAGACUUGAUGAGCUUGAAGGCUGAAGCAGAAGUACAGACCGAGCCUAUGGAAACAGACUGGAAGGAAAAGCUCACGAGGGAAAGACAACAACUUGAAGAUGUAAAGGAGGAGAUACAGAAGGAAAAAGAAGCCUUUGAGAGAAAGAAGGGAUUGACCGUGAAAGAAAGAGAUGAGUUUGAUCUGAUGAAGUCUGAAACCCAGGGACAAUUGGAGGAAAUAGAACCAAACAAACAAGACAUUCGUGUGGAGAAGGAAAAGCUGGAUCAGAUCAAAGCUGAGUUAGAAAGACGGUCUGAAGACAUCAAUCAGCUCAUGGAUGAGACAAGACGGGAGAGGGGGAAGGUUGAAGAACUGGCUAUCCAAACUCAAAAACAAAGAGAAGAAAUGGUGGGUUUUAUGGAAAAGAACAAACAAAAGCAGAACGAACUGGAACUCAUGACUGACAAGAUUGAAAGAGAGAAACAAGACAUCGAAGACAGUCGGGAUGUGCUAACAAAGGANNNNNNNNNNNNNNNNNNNNNNNNNNNNNNNNNNNNNNNNNNNNNNNNNNNNNNNNNNNNNNNNNNNNNNNNNNNNNNNNNNNNNNNNNNNNNNNNNNNNNNNNNNNNNNNNNNNNNNNNNNNNNNNNNNNNNNNNNNNAGAAGUACAGACCGAGCCUAUGGAAACAGACUGGAAGGAAAAGCUCACGAGGGAAAGACAACAACUUGA
rnacentral:lncRNA from 13 species